CAAGUGGAUCAAGGCUAUUAGAGAUGCCAUAGACAAUCUGGAACCUUCCGGAUGCCGCAGUACCAACCACAAGUUCGUGCUGCAUACGUUCGACAAACCUGCCACCUGUCAUCACUGCUCCAAGUUUCUCAAGGGCAGAAUAUUUCAGGGGUAUCUGUGUUCUGUGUGCAAUGCGUGUGCGCACAAGGACUGCAUCGCGCUAUCAGGUCGGUGCGGAGGAGGACUGGCGCCCGCACCGCCACUGCCGCCGCACUCACACCAGCCUGACCAGGCGCUGCAUUACUACA